rfam:Rattus norvegicus chromosome 6, whole genome shotgun sequence.
AGCUUUGCGCAGUGGCAGUAUCGUAGCCAAUGAGGUUUAUCCGAGGCACGGUUAUUGCUAAUUGAAAACUUGACCUUUCUGCAUCCAUGUUCUCAUCUACAAAAUGAGAUGUAACUUAUUCUUCAAUAGA